rnacentral:rRNA from 1 species
UACAGAGGUCCCGAGCGUUGUUCGGAAUUACUGGGCUUAAAGGGUGCGUAGGCGGCGCAGUAAGUUGGGUGUGAAAUCCCUCGGCUUAACCGAGGAAUUGCGCCCAAAACUACUGUGCUCGAGGGAGGUAGAGGUGAGCGGAACUUAGGGUGGAGCGGUGAAAUGCGUUGAUAUCCUAAGGAACACCGGUGGCGAAAGCGGCUCACUGGACCUCUUCUGACGCUGAGGCACGAAAGCUAGGGUAGCAAACGGG